AGUGAGGCUACUAUGCUAUCGGAAGCACGGAGCCUUCCGUGCUUCCAGCUCGUUUUCGAUGUUGCGACUUUCGAAUCGUCGAUCGGCUCCGUUAAACUUGAUCUAGAGUAUUUAGAGUACCUAGAAAAUAAAUUUUAUUAUUUUUUGAUAUCAUUUGCCUAGUGAUCGAAUGGGCUCAAAAUCAAUAAAUUUCAAUGGCCGUAGUGAGCCGUUUGCAAGUUUAACGGUGUAGAAAUAUCCAAAUCACGUGAAAUUUUGAUAGAAAAUUCUUUAUACUAUAUAAAACAAGAUCAAUAUCUUUGAUUUAAAAUUUUAAUGUCAUAUUAUUACAUUUUGUAAGAUUUUUAUUUUCAGCCGUUGAUUUUGAGCCCCUUCGUUCACUAGGCAAAUGAUAUCGUAAAAUCAUAAAAUUUAUUUUCUAGGUACUUCAAAUACUCUAGAUCAAGUUUAACGGAGUCGAUCGACGAUUCGAAAGUCGCAACAUCGAAAACGAGCUGGAAGCACGGAAGGCUCCGUGCUUCCGAUAGCAUAGUAGCCUCACUC
rnacentral:lncRNA from 1 species